AGUCUCCGCCUGCAGUUUCUGGAGAGAUGGAAGAUGUAGUUGGCGCGAAAGUCUCAGCAGGGCGAGAGCUCUGUACGUACGCCAGCAGCCCUGGCGCCACCAUUCUCUCAGGAGGUGCUUGUGGCUGCUCCGCGGAACUCUGGGAAAGACAGUUCGAAAAUGCUGCUGGGAGUAGCGAUCACGUAGGGCGCUGCGUUGUAGGGGAGAGGAGCGUGUCCCGGGCGCUCCCAAGGGCUCUGUGCACUGCGGCCGUCGGUGUGGCCGGGCUCUGUUUCCGUCUGAGCUCCGGCCCCGCAAAGCUGACUUGUGGGGCAGGGAAAAACACGAAGUUCUACCAAGGGCAGGACAAGAAACAGGAAUAGUAUGAUUUUCUCAGGAGAUUAGAAGAAGCAGUUAAAAGGAAAGCUGGAGAAGUAAAUUCAUCUCACAGAUCUUCAGGACUGUUGUACUGAAGCCAGUUACAAAGGACUUUUUUCUUUGGACUUUUUCAGUAAAUAGCUUUUGAGAAUUGGAGAAGAUUGAGAGAAUACCUACGCUGCCUCCACUAAAAGACUGGAAACUACUCUUCUGUGAAGUGGAAUGAUAUUUUCAUGGCUAAUGCUGAAAGCAGUGUGCAUACAGAUGGAAUUACACACCUAUUUCAAAGUGAAACGUUAAUUUAUUCAGUGGAAGAAUGCACUUCUAGUGACUGUGCCUCAAUAAAACCUCAGUCUGGCUGUGAAACUUGAUUUCCAUUACCAGCUACAGAAGAAGGAGCUACUAUUCUAGUUACUGCAAGUUUUUUAUUACUGUAACUAUAUUCUGGGUGCUUGGUGCCUAUGGCAGUAGUACAUUUUUACUGCAUAAUAACAAAUCAAUUAUUCCAGUAUAGCUAUAAAUAUUUACGGUCAGUGGGAAAGGCUAAUAUAUCCUCCUGUUAUACUCUGCCUUGAACAUUCAUUGUUAUAUUAUUUCUAGUGUCUUUAGUCAAGUAUUUCUAUAUCAUUUAGAACUGCCAAUCCAAUCCAUUUAUUGGAAUUUUUAAUUUCUGGAAGUCUCUGUGUAGAAUGGCUCUUCCAGUGUCUUGAGAUUCGAUCUACUUAUGCAAGAUAUAUAAGUAAAUUUGAAAUUAUAUGUUUAAUGAUGAAAAUCAGAUCUUAUGCUGAAAAUUACUUGAGGCAGACAUGAAGUCUCCCCAAUCUUGCAAAGCGGAGUUUCAAAUAAACCUGUGAUGCU
rnacentral:lncRNA from 7 species